GCCCAGAGGAGAAGAGAGAGUCGCUCAAGGUCACACAAAAGCAGAGUCUUCAACCAAGAAGGGACCCUUCUGAGCUGGAGGCUCUGGUGACCAGAAGAUUUCUUUUCUGCGGUGACUUGGCCUCUCCUUAUGGCUUUACAGCAUUUCCGGGGCUCACACUGCUCUGGGUACUGUGUGAAGGACUCCACAGUCAUCAGCUUCUCUUCAUCCUUGCCACAUCUUUGAAAGACUGGAAGAUGAGAAGCACGGCUGAGUCCCGGAGCAGACUGAGCCACCUAAGAGGGGAGGAACCACUGCAGAGAAACCGUGUCAAGCCUUUUGGAAGUUCCAGGGGGAGAACAAGAGAGUGGAGGCUCCUGGUGGCUGGUGACAGGUGCUGAUUUGUUCUGGGGAAACAGCACAGAAAAGUGACUGGAGAGGCGGCUGGGCCAGAAUGGGAUGCAGGCAAUGGAAAGGACUCUCAAGACACAGUCCUGGGCUCGCAGGCAGGACUAACCCUCAAACCUGUCCCCCCAGGAGCCUGCAGAGCCUCUGCCCUGACAGGGGAUACUUCACCUCCUCUCCUUGCAGCUGCUCUUGGCUGGGAGAGCAGAGAACAGGGGACAGGAGAGAAGACCCCAGAGUACUGAAGCUGAGGCUGGGGCAGUCUUCACUUGCCUCUUUCCUCGGCCUUUUUCCUGUUCUCUUGUCUUUUCUCUCUUUCUCUACUUCCCUUCUCCCUAGCCCAGUCUCUCACCUUUCUUCAUCCUCUGGGCCUUUUCUUCUUCCUCUCUUGCCAUGAUUCUUCCUUCUCUGUUCCUCUUGUCUUCUCUUUUACUUCCUCUCUUCUUCCCUCCUUCCUGCAGCUAUGCCCUCUUCCCUCCUUUUUCCUGUCCCCAACCAGGGCAUUAGAAAUGCAUCCCAGUCAGCCUGAUCUGAUCACUGCAUAUUGUAUGCAUGAAUCAAAAUAUCACAUGUACCCCAGAAAUAUGUAAAUUACUGCAUAUCAAUAAAAAGAAAUCU